rnacentral:ncRNA from 2 species
GAAAACCGCUAGGGGAUCCCCAAUUGAGGGGCUGAGAUUAAAGUGUUUCUUUUAAACCCUUAUAACCUGAUCUGGUUUGUACCAGCGUAGGGAAGUGGAAUUACGGCAUA